CAAAAGAAGGACGACCACCCCCCGAGACCCCCUCGGCACGUACCCAGCCUCCCGCGGUCGCAUCGCCGCCACCGGGGACGGCCCGGGAGCCGCUGGGGGCGGCGGGGGAGGCAGCAGCGACCCCGCACCCCUUCCCGUUUCCCCCCCACCCCCGGCCCUGCCCGGCACGGCACGGCACACUCACCGCAGCGUUUCUCUCCUGGCUGGCGCUGGGGCACGGCAGAAAGUUUGGAGCUUCUGCUUUUCCAGAUCAAUUGAAAGCCUCCUUCAUGCUAGGAGCUCCAGUGAAAUUCUGCGACUGUUCCCUGAAGUCAGAUCUAAUCUCCUUGUCCAGCACACCCAACGGGCAUAGGCUUCCUUCAGCAAGAUGCUCUUCCUGCAAUGCCGCUUCCACACGUUGGAGCUGGGAAGGUUCGGCAGCUCUUCAGUGUCACCUCACUGCCCUGUGAGUUACAGAAGGAUCAUCUCAGCGUCCUGGAGAAUGCAAUGCUAAUGGAAACUAAAGGAGACAUACAGUGAGAUAAAUGCUGAUAGCAGAGGUUCUCUGGAUUUACAAAGACCUGUCCCAGACGUGCUCCUAACCCCCUCCCAAGAAAUGUUUAUAAAUGUGUACCUUUGGAAUGGGCUCAGACUCACAUUUACAGCUACCAGCAGUGAGAUAGGUCUGUGACAGUAGGGACAACAAAUUAGAGUCCUUGAACACUGCUUUCAGAGGACCACUGCAUCCUGCUACGAGAGGUUAAGCUACUGUAAGGAGCAUCAUUUCAGGGCCUCACAAUGCAUUUUUAUAAAUGUAGGUACACUUAUAUAUGCACUUCAUGCAGAGAACAAAACAUUUCUCUUUUACAGGAAAACUCAAACUUUGUG